UACGUAGGGGGCAAGCGUUUGUCCGGAUUUAUUGGGCGUAAAGAGCGUGUAGGCGGUGAUGUAAGACAGAUGUGAAAUCCCCGGGCUCAACCUGGGAACUGCAUUUGUGACUGCAUCGCUGGAGUGCGGCAGAGGGGGAUGGAAUUCCGCGUGUAGCAGUGAAAUGCGUAGAUAUCGGGAAGAACACCCGUGGCGAAGGCGGCUCUCUGGGACGGUACUGACGCUGAGACGCGAAAGCGUGGGGAGCGAACAGG
rnacentral:rRNA from 1 species